CCCUUAGAUGUUCUGGGCCGCACGCGCGCUACACUGAUGCAUUCAACGAGUCUAAAACCUGCUCUGAUAGGGGUGGGUAAUCUUUUGAAUGUGCAUCGUGAUUGGGAUAGAUGAUUGCAAUUUUUCAUCUUCAACGAGGAAUGCCUAGUAAACGCAAGUCAUCAGCUUACAUUGAUUACGUCCCUGCCCUUUGUACACACCGCCCGUCGCUCCUACCGAUUGAAUGAUCCGAUGAAUAUCAUGGAUUGAGGAUGCAAGUAGGUUAGCCUAUCUUCAUCUUCGAGAAGUGAAGUAAAUCUUAUCAUUUAGAGGAAGGAGAAGUCGUAACA
rnacentral:rRNA from 1 species